AUUGAACGCUGGCGGCAUGCUUUACACAUGCGAGUCGAACGGUAACAGGCCUUCGGGUGCUGACGAGUGGCGCACGGGUGAGUAAUGCAUCGGAACGUACCCAGAGGUGGGGGAUAACGCAGCGAAAGCUGUGCUAAUACCGCAUGUGAUCUGAGGAUGAAAGCGGGGGACCGAGCAGCAAUGUUUGGCCUCGCGCCUUUGGAGCGGCCGAUGUCGGAUUAGCUAGUUGGUGGGGUAAAGGCCUACCAAGGCGACGAUCCGUAGCUGGUCUGAGAGGACGACCAGCCACACUGGGACUGAGACACGGCCCAGACUCCUACGGGAGGCAGCAGUGGGGAAUUUUGGACAAUGGGCGCAAGCCUGAUCCAGCAAUGCCGCGUGCGGGAAGAAGGCCUUCGGGUUGUAAACCGCUUUUGGCAGGAACGAAACGGUGUCCGCUAAUACCGGGCGCUAAUGACGGUACCUGCAGAAUAAGCACCGGCUAACUACGUG
rnacentral:rRNA from 1 species